UACAUGGGGUGCAAACGUUGCUCGGAAUUAUUGGGCGUAAAGCGCACGUAGGCGGUUCGUUAAGGCGGAUGUGAAAGCCCUCGGCUCAACUGAGGAAGUGCACCCGAAACUGGCGAGCUUGAGUACGAAAGAGGAUCGCGGAAUUCCCGGUGUAGAGGUGAAAUUCGUAGAUAUCGGGAGGAACACCGGUGGCGAAGGCGGCGAUCUGGGUCGAUACUGACGCUGAGGUGCGAAAGCGUGGGGAGCAAACAGG
rnacentral:rRNA from 1 species